rnacentral:lncRNA from 1 species
CCCACAUAUACUCACCCCAAAACCAUCCCCAUCACCAGACAGCACCAUUGCACCCACCCAAUGUCAGCGCCACCUCCAACAUCUCCACCUCGAUCACACCACAACAUUUCCACUUCAAAUCCACAACCAACACAACUCAAUUGUCCACAAAAUAAAUUUGAUUUUUGACAUAAAAAGUGCAAUUUGGGGAUAAAAAUAUACAAGGUGAACAAGCUGUGCAGUAAACAUUCAUGCCAUUGCCAACAUCUAACUGCCACAUUCCCCAUCGUUUUUCCUCACCACCAUCAUCACUUUCAUUCACUAGAAUCACUACUUACACACAACAAUAACAAAAUCUCGAAAUCAAAUCUGAUUUGAAAAUCAAAUUCAAUUUUCAAAUCUAAAGAAAAGAAAUCGUCACACUCUCAUUCUUCCUUUAUUGGGUGGUAGUGGCGAUGGUGAUGACAUCUAGCAGCUUGGAUGGUGGUGGCGAUGGAUCGCCUGGGAGCUAGUAGCGGCGACUUGGGGGCAAGGAAAAUGUAUGGGAAUGGAGAAGAAAGGUUGGG